UACGUAGGGGGCAAGCGUUGUCCGGAUUUAUUGGGCGUAAAGAGCGUGUAGGCGGCCGUACAGGUCAGCUGUGAAAACUCGAGGCUCAACCUCGAGACGUCGGUUGAAACCGUACGGCUAGAGUCCGGAAGAGGAGAGUGGAAUUCCCGGUGUAGCGGUGAAAUGCGCAGAUAUCGGGAAGAACACCAGUGGCGAAGGCGACUUCCUGGCCUGUUCUUGACGCUGAGGCGCGAAAGCUAGGGGAGCAAACGGG
rnacentral:rRNA from 1 species